AAGGAAGGUUUUUUUUUUUUUCAAAGUACUAUUAGGUGGCACAGCAGAUGGAUUGCCAGGUCUGGAGCUGGGAGAACCUGGGUUCAAAUCUGACCUCGGACACUUCCUAGCUAUGUAUCACCCUGAGCAAGUCACUUAACCUCAUUUGCCUAGCCCUUGCCAUUCUGUUUUAAAGUUGUCAUGAAGAUAAAAGUAAGUGUUUUUAAAAAGCAUUAUGAUUAAUUCUACCAGAUGGAUUAGCUGACAAGCAGACCUAGACGGGCUUCCCCUCACUCUGGGUUCCUGCUCACCUUGCCACCCUGUGCCAGCAGCUAAGCCUUCAAGGUCUGGCUGGAGCCCAGCUAUGGCAGAGAAGGAAGUGCCAGCUGCCACAGCCUCAGGAGAGGCGAGGCUACGGCCCACGAGGGAAGCCAGGCUGCUCCGGCCAGCCAGCCCUCAUUUCUCCCAGUCUUUGUGCCCCCAGCACCCAGUACAGCACACAGGGACUCUCUGGAGCCUCCUGCCACAAGAAAGGACAUCUCAGGAAGUCAGGACUGAACUCCAGAGCCCAGUGAGGUGUUAAUUACGUUCUUCACACUUUCCCAGGCUUCAGAAUGAUUCACUUCAGUGUGAAAAUAUUUUCUGUGACUGCUCAUGUGACAGCUGGCUUCCUUCACCACGCAGGAGACAGAAGAGGGAUGGGAAGACCCUGAGGCCUCCUGGGAAGGUUGGUGCUCAGAAGAAGUCUCAGUGCUUGUGGGUGCCCGGGAGGAACUGUCUGAGAGGAAGUGUGCUGCUGGAGGAUACAGGAGGACCAACUCUGGAACAGUGGCUCUUUGGCAGCAAUAGCUGCCCAGCCUCCAAAGUGUUGGAGGAUUCCAACCCAACUCCAUUUUGUCCCCACAUCCAAGUUCAGAAAAGUCUGGGUCUCCAACAGAACUUGAUUCUCCUCCUGAGACAAGAUGGCCUUCCUUAGCGUCCGUCUGUCCUCUUGGACUGGGUAGCCCAAUCUUGGCCUGAUUGCUCUCCCAUUGAUCAGAGGGAAGGCUUCUCCUCUGAUGGGACUAGAAGAUGUGACCAUGGCUGAAGAAUUCUGGGGCUACUCUCACAGUGAGUUUCCAUCUCUCUUCUGGAUUGGCUCUCUCUCCUAUCCUGUCUAGGAGACCGAAAGUCUGGCCCGUCGUCCAUGUGGAAAGGACAUCUGCUUGGGGGUGGAGGUGGAAGAGGCUUAAACACAUUAAUUUCCCUGGGAAAGUUUGCAGCCAUAGACCCUCCUGAAGUUCCGGGUGCGUUUUCAGCCAACAGGGCGUCUCUUUGGGGAGAAGAUCAGGAUGGGGGCGAGAGCGUGAAGGGGACGUGGAACACUGUGGAGAUGGCUAGGGGCUGCCAGGGCAGAGGCUGGAGCAGUUUAGGGAAGAAUUCCCAAUGCAGACAUCAGACUUAGACCAUCUGGUUACACCAAUGUUGAGAAGCUCCUGGGAAGGGCGGGGAGAAGAAGGGGCCGGAGGGGAAGAAAGCGAAUGCCCCUGCAACAAAAGGGAGUUCUGUGUAGUGGGCUGGCGGUGAGAGGUUCAUUCUAUUAGUGAAUGGCACCCGCCUCCAACCUCAUGGGUUUUGUGUUGGUAUUUCCCCCCCCUCUGUAGGUCUAUAUGUGUGCCUGUGGUUAGUCAGACCCUUCUAUGGAAUGGGGUGAGCCAAAGGCCUCCCCUGGUUACACAGUCCUAUUGAGAAGGGUCUGAUAUUCAGCUGGGGAGGUUUUUAGACUCUGAAGGGGAAGUAGCACAUUAGGGUCAUGCACUACAGUUUCGUAGGGUGGCACAGUUUCUAGGGCAAUAGUGGAGACAGAGGCCUGUCCUUGGGGAGAUCUGAGGGGACAACCAGGAUCCGCCCUCGGCCACAGGCAAAGAAGCCCCAUCUUCAUCCUCAUUCCUCUCCUCUGCUGCAUUGAUCUGGAUGGAGACAUCUCUGUCCUGGCAAAGGGUCAUUCAGGGGAAUAUGGUGGAGGGUCCUCAGUGGGGAUGUAGAUUUGAGUUGACCCUGGUCCUACGCACUCCCUCGUAGCUGAAAAAAAAAAAAGGGACAUUUAAGGCUUACGCCUUGGAUAAAGGACUUCCCAGCUCCUGCAAUACUACUUCCUAUGCUUUAAACAUUUAAUGUGCAGCAACAUCACUACCAAAUAAAAAAUGAAACGCACUUAUAUGUACAAAAUAUUUCUAGUAGCUUUGUUUGUGGUGGCAAAGAAUUGGUAAUUGAGAGGAUGCCCAUCUGUUGAGGAAUGGCUAAACAAGUUGUGGGAUAUGAUUAUGAUGGAAUACUAUUGUGCUAUAAGAAAGGACAAGCAGCAUGCUUUCAGAAAAAACCUGGAAAGACUUACAUGAACUGAUGCAAAGUGAAGUGAGUUGUGCACAGUACCAGCAAUAAUGUAUGAUCACCCCCUGUGAAUGCAUUAGCUUUUUCUCAGCAAUACAAUGAUCUAAGACAAUUUCCAAGGA